GAGAUCGGGAUAACACCUGGAAACAGAUGCUAAUACCGGAUAACAACAGAUGAUGCCUAUCAACUGUUUAAAAGAUGGUUCUGCUAUCACUCUUGGAUGGACCUGCGGUGCAUUAGCUAGUUGGUAGGGUAACGGCCUACCAAGGCGAUGAUGCAUAGCCGAGUUGAGAGACUGAUCGGCCACAUUGGGACUGAGACACGGCCCAAACUCCUACGGGAGGCAGCAGCU
rnacentral:rRNA from 1 species